UCCAAAGGACCGAAGACUAAACCCGCCGCGUCCUGUGGCAACGUCUGCAUGACCCGCAUCCU
rnacentral:sRNA from 1 species